UUUUGUGUCCUUAUUUAAAUCCCCAUUCUUGAUUCCAGACUAACUCUCAUAUAUAUACGUAAAUGUACGAAAGCUUGGCACGUCGAACACGGAAACCCGGAAAUCUUUUCACCGUUGCCGUUUUUAUACUAUGACGCAAAAUCCAUGGACGCUCGUCUGCUGCUGAAUUCAUGUUUUACUGUUUAAAAAGAAUGGACAAAGAUAGUCAGAUAGUUGAUACAAAGACCUUUGAUUUUUCAAACUGAUGGAUCAAAAAGUUAUUAUAAACAGAUAUAUUGAAAUGGCCGACUCAAAAUCAUGCUGUUAAUUAGGGCCCCCUGUUGUACAUGUACUUAGGAAUCGGACACCUCCAGAAGAUGAAAGAUCUACUUUACAUCUUUUUCAACGAAAGUACAAUUACUUUGAGAAGUAGGAGAAGCUAAGCAACAGGACAGAAUUCAUUUGAGGCAUUGCUUUCUAGAUUAUAAAGUGGAGUCAUAGAUUGUCCUAUUGAUAAUGAUUUAUGUGCAUAUGAGGAGCAGUAGUCAAUGAAUAAUUUUGUGAUGAGAGCUGUACAUUGUAUUACAACAAAUGGACAGAGGAGUUGACUAUUGAUAGUGACUGAUAAUGGACUGGAGUAACCUAGGGUCCAAUGACUCCAUGCCUGACAGUCCAUGUGUACAUGUAUGUCAACAGCCAAUUCCAAGUAACCUUAAACAUAUA